UGUGUUUAUUUCUGGGAUCUGUCUUGUGUUCUGUUGGUCUGGGUGUCUGUUUUUAUGCCAAUAUCAAUCUGUUUUUGUUACUACAGUUCUGUUGUUUGUCCUGAAAUCAAGUAUUGUGAUUCUUCCAGUUUCUUCUUUUUGUUCAAGAUUGAUUUGACUUUGUGGGAUCUUUUGUGCUUACACAUGAAUUUUAGGAUCUUUUUUCCUAGCUCUGUGAAGAUUGUCCAUUUGUAUUUUGAUGGGGAUCACUUUGAAUCCAUAGAUGACUUUGAACAGUAUGUACAUUUUAACAACAUCAAUUCAUCCACUCCAUGAUCAUGGAUGGUCUUUCCUUUUUUUUCCCCUUUAAUUUCAAAGCUACUUGCUCUCUGGUUUACAUGUUGCCACCUGGGCUUAGAACCCUGAAUCUUGGACUUUCUGCUUGGCUUGGUCUCUAAGCAGUUGGGAUUGUGGUGUUGUUGCCACCUUAGUGAUCAUGGGGAAAUGCUGGCAAAGAUAAAAAAUAAAAUAGCAAUACCCUGUAGCUACUAGGCCAUAGGGCAGGAAAAACUCUAGCAAAAUUUUGGUCCAGUUCUAAGAUGCAUGCAGCCAUAGCAGCCUAGAUAAAGGGACUGGAGAAAAUAAAAUAUAUUUCUGUCCCACCUGAAGUGGCUCAGAGGCA
rnacentral:lncRNA from 1 species